rnacentral:rRNA from 1 species
GACGAACGCUGGCGGCGUGCUUAACACAUGCAAGUCGAACGGAAAGGCCCUGCUUUUGUGGGGUGCUCGAGUGGCGAACGGGUGAGUAACAAGUGAGUAACCUGCCCUUGACUUUGGGAUAACUUCAGGAAACUGGGGCUAAUACCGGAUAGGAGCUCCUGCUGCAUGGUGGGGGUUGGAAAGUUUCGGCGGUUGGGGAUGGACUCGCGGCUUAUCAGCUUGUUGGUGGGGUAGUGGCUUACCGAGGCUUUGACGGGUAGCCGGCCUGAGAGGGUGACCGGCCACAUUGGGACUGAGAUACGGCCCAGACUCCUACGGGAGGCAGCAGUGGGGAAUAUUGCACAAUGGGCGGAAGCCUGAUGCAGCAACGCCGCGUGCGGGAUGACGGCCUUCGGGUUGUAAACCGCUUUCGCCUGUGACGAAGCGUGAGUGACGGUAAUGUGUAAAGAAGCACCGGCUAACUACGUG